rnacentral:misc_RNA from 1 species
AACACCUCAGCUCUCUUUUUCUUCUUGAAAUAAAGAGCUGGACUUGAGUGAUCCCAACGCUUUCUCGAAAGUGGCGGGUUACUUGAAAUGCAGGUGCAGCUGAACUUUUCUCUGAGCUAUAAGCAUAUCUAUUUAGUCUGCCUCAAAAACAGAUUAUUACCUUUGCUGCAGCUAACAUAAAGGAGACUAGUUCUUGUGCUGACUGAUGCAGGAUUCACAGAGACCGCUUCGGCUGUCUUUGUAA